rnacentral:rRNA from 1 species
AUUGAACGCUGGCGGUAGGCUUAACACAUGCAAGUCGAGCGGUAACAGGCCUUCGGGUGCUGACGAGCGGCGGACGGGUGAGUAACGCGUAGAAAACUGCCCGGUAGUGGAGGAUAGCCCAGAGAAAUUUGGAUUAAUACCGCAUACGCUCUACGGAGGAAAGCGGGCUUCGGCUCGCGCUAUCGGAUGUGUCUGCGUGAGAUUAGCUAGUUGGUGAGGUAAUGGCUCACCAAGGCGACGAUCUCUAGCUGGUCUGAGAGGAUGAUCAGCCACACUGGGACUGAGACACGGCCCAG